ensembl:lncRNA
CGGCGCCAAUUUUGACGUCACACUGCGCUACGUUUUUGUCUCGGUGCUAUGAAAUCCUACAAUGGCAGCCUUAGACAAAAUACUGUUAAUUUAAGUAUAUUCAGUGUUUAAAUGCUUACAUUUACACACACAUUAACUGUCCCUUCACACAAAGGACUCUAUUCAUCUUCUAUGAGCUGUCUUUGUAUCUAGUUUUCCCUCUUUAUUGACGUUGUUCCUUAUUUCUCCUCUUUUUUUCAGAUCACAUUUGGUUACUACCAUCCACUCAUCAAUACACAGGGCAAGAAAAGACUCCAAAUUUUACAAAAGUUAAAAUGAAAGACUGGUGCAUUGUGCAGUUCAACACUGGUGGUACAGAAAUUGUCCCUAGUUCAUGGUUAAAUGGGAAGAAAUUGUCAUGGCCUCCAUAUCCUCCGCGAGACACAUUUAGGAUCCACGCCGCAGUAAAGAGGAGAGUUCAUCCUGGUGCAACAUGGCUCACCUAUGCACCAGUCCGGCUUCUCAUAAGCCAUGACACAUUUCAAGAAGCCGAACGCAGUCUCCAGAAAUAUCUCAGUGAACACUGUGAUACAUCUGACCUUCAGUCCGAAGCUGAAAGUCAGACCACUCUUAAACAUAUCUUUGAUUGUUCAGAAUUUAUAAUUUUGUCUUUUGUACAUAUCUGUGAUGCUUGAAUACUGCAAUAUAACCACAUAAAAUGGUCCAAAAAGUGUAAGUUGGUAAACUUUUUAAAAAUGCAAAGCCGUGUACACUUGUGCACUUCAAAAAUUCAUUGUAUACUGCACCUUCGUGCACAUCUCCGUUUCCUGUGUGUGUGUUGUUACAAAUCAAAGUGUACAAAAUAUGCCAAACGCAGAUUUGUAAUUACUUAUGAACUGUUUCUACUUAUUUCUUUAGACCAAAUCCCCUGUACACGUAUAGUGACUCAGAGGAUGAGCAGCCCACAAAAAAAAGGUUUCCCCAGGCCCCUCGAGUGAAAAUACCAGCCCUCAACGCUUCGCAGUCUUCCCCCCAGCCCACUGACAGCAGACAUCAUAAUGCCCCUCCCAGCUUCCGGCACCUUUCGCCACUCUGGGAGAACAUUCCGAACGACACACCUUUACAAUCUCCCCAGCAUGCAGAGUCUGAUGUUGAGGCCUUCCCUAUAGAUGAUUCCAGAGACUCUGUGAGGCCACUAUUACAAGAUGCGACCGCACAAAAGUUUUUAACAAUGCUGUCAGACCUGACGAGAUCUGUCAACGAACUGCGUGAGGAGGUCAGAGCCAUCCGCAAUACCGGCUCAAAUGAAUCUCUAGAUGCUGGGGUACUCCCUUUGGAUUUGCCCUUAAACAGCAUUGAGGAGCUAAACCAUGCAGAGGCAGCUCUUACGUCGCAAGAGGCAAUUAAGGCAAUGGUGAGACGGUUUGCCUUGAUUGGAGGGACCACACUUGAGGUGCGAGUCCGCCGUGUAAUGGCUUAUGCCAUUACAAAUGAGCUGGCCUCACUACUAAACUGGGCAGGGAAAAAAACAAAGGACCACACGAAGCAAAAAAGGGCAUUUAAAGAUACUGCGCUGUGCAGAUGCAUAUUUGAUGGCCUGACGCAGCAAUUAGGGGCAAACUCGAUGUCAGAGUUUCUCUUUGCACAGGCAGUGCAGAAGUGGCUACGGUACGCCCCAGACCGUUUGGGUGGUGCAGGACGCACAUCAUCCGUCCCCAUCCCAGAGGAGCAGUAAAAACUACAAAGUUAUAUUAAAAUAUAAAUGUAAAAUAGAAAACUGUGUUUAAAUAAAGUAUUUAGCAAACAAAACAUGUCUAUUGAGCUUUUUUGUUUAGUUUUUUUUGUCUCUGUUACAUCACAUGCAAUGCUUUCUUAUUUUAGGAUAUUAAUAUUGACAUGAUACAUUGUGAGACAUUUGAUUUUUAUAAAGGGUGUCCAGUUUGAGGAUUCAGUGCAAUUAUGUGUUUAGGUGGUUUAAGUGUUGAUGGAAACAUGCAGUAGUUUAGUAUGGUUAAAAUAACUAUAAAGCAAGGUAGAUUUCCAGUCAUGAUUUAACUGUUGUUUUAAUUUUAAAAAAAAAAUGCAAAAGAGGUGGAAAAUCAACACCAUAGCUCAACAGUGUUUCAAUAUCAGAGUCUGACAUUGUUUCAAUGUCAAGAGUAUUAGAAAAUAUA